GGUUGUAGAAGAACUCUCAGCAUGACAAAAAGAUCUAUGGAGAUACCUCUCAAAAUCCAGCAAACUCUGAUAAGUUCUUCAUGUGUAAUGAUGCAAAGAUGUAAGCAAGCUGCACUGAAUCAUUAUACAGCGUGCUGUGGCUAAAAUGCAUGAAAAAAUCCAAAGUAAAGGAUCAUC
rnacentral:lncRNA from 1 species